GGGAGGGGUCAGGAGAAUAAAUAUGCUGGCCUCACACUCUUUUCCCCUCUCCAGUCUACUGUGGGCCUCCCACUGGCCAAACCCAAGCAGAAGCCAAGGCGGAGUCCUCUUGCUGCCAUACAGGCAUACAGGAAUUUAGCCUCCAAUCCAACACUAGGGAACACAAGGUGUAUCAUGACAAGGUCAACAGAAAUAAAUUUGUAGAGAUGAACUGCUUUGUUUGCUGCCACAAGUAUCUGAAAUGGAUCGACAAUCUACCAAAAAGAACAGAAAGAAUUAACACGCGGAGCAUCUAAAGAUGCAUGCCUUUUCUCUUGGUAACUCCAAUGUCAGGCUGUUUUACUUCAUCACAACUUCUAUGGACUAUGUUUUCAAAAUUGCUGGGUGCUCAGAAAAUCAUAGAAUUUUAAAGCUGCAAGAAACUUAAAUAGUAAACAUUUUUAAAGUAACAUUUGAGAAUAUCACAGGAAAAGCUAUAUUCUAAAGAUUUUACGUGUAUUAUUUUAAUCCUUAAAACUACCCUAUGAAAUCAGUAUUGUUCAUAUGCAGUGGAUGAGGAAACCAAAGCAAAGAAUGUCUGGAUUUGAAUCCCAGCUCUGUCACUUACCACUGAGGGGAUUUGGGCAAAUUCCUUAGGUUUAUCUGUUAGAUGCAGAUAAUCAUAGUAGUUACUUCAUAGGGUUGUUGUGAAGAUUGAGUUGGUAUAUGGAAAGGAAUAGAGUAAGCACUCUCUAAAGGUUGUCCACCACUUGCUCGAAGUCCUAAUGGCAGAGCUGGGAUUAAAUCCUACGGCCAUGGUUCCAUGGUGUGUGC